AGCGUGCGCAGGCGGUUAUGUAAGACAGAUGUGAAAUACCCCGGGCCUCAACCUGGGAACUGCAUUAGUGACUGCAUAGCUGGAGUACGGCAGAGGGGGAUGGAAUUCCGCGUGUAGCAGUGAAAUGCGUAGAUAUGCGGAGGAACACCGAUGGCGAAGGCAAUCCCCUGGGCCUGUACUGACGCUCAUGCACGAAAGCGUGGGGAGCAAACAGGAUUAGAUACCCGUGU
rnacentral:rRNA from 1 species